rnacentral:pre_miRNA from 1 species
UGUUAAACAUUUCAUUAAUUUUUAUUGUUAAAACUUAGCUUGAUUAAUGAAUAACUAAACAAUAACACGUGGUGUGCUAUGUAUAUAUUAUUCUGACAUGCAAUAACCAAUUUUUAACUAUAAAAAUAGAUAGAAUAUCUAAGA